rnacentral:rRNA from 1 species
UACGUAGGGGGCUAGCGUUGUCCGGAAUCAUUGGGCGUAAAGCGCGUGUAGGCGGCCCGGUAAGUCCGCUGUGAAAGUCGGGGGCUCAACCCUCGGAUGCCGGUGGAUACUGUCGGGCUCGAGUACGGAAGAGGCGAGUGGAAUUCCUGGUGUAGCGGUGAAAUGCGUAGAUAUCAGGAGGAACACCGGCGGUGUAGACGGCUUCUGGACCAUUACUGACGUGAGAUACGAAAGCGUGGGUAGCAAACAGG